rnacentral:rRNA from 1 species
UUGAACGCUGGCGGCAUGCCUUACACAUGCAAGUCGAACGGUAACAGGUCUUCGGAUGCUGACGAGUGGCGAACGGGUGAGUAAUACAUCGGAACGUGCCCGAUCGUGGGGGAUAACGCAGCGAAAGCUGUGCUAAUACCGCAUACGAUCUACGGAUGAAAGCGGGGGAUCGCAAGACCUCGCGCGGACGGAGCGGCCGAUGGCAGAUUAGGUAGUUGGUGGGAUAAAAGCUUACCAAGCCGACGAUCCGUAGCUGGUCUGAGAGGACGACCAGCCACACUGGAACUGAGACACGGUCCAGACUCCUACGGGAGGCAGCAGUGGGGAAUUUUGGACAAUGGGCGCAAGCCUGAUCCAGCCAUUCCGCGUGAGUGAAGAAGGCCUUCGGGUUGUAAAGCUCUUUCGGCAGGGAAGAAACGGUUUUGGCUAAUAUCCAGAGCUAAUGACGGUACCUGAAGAAGAAGCACCGGCUAACUACGU